GGGGGCUUCUCUCACACAGCUCGCAAUCGAAGAAAGAGGAACACUUCUCUUUUCGUCCUAUUCGUUUUUUUUUUGAGUUCGCGUUUACGUGUAUGUGUGUGUGUGCAUGUGCGCAGCGCGCAGCCUCUCUCUUCCUUAUCCGCCCGCACCAAGUCGCUUCACGUAUCACCCUUUCUUCAGGACCACUUGCAUUGCAAGAGAGGCCCCAUGUCGUGGGCAGCACUCGUGAAGAGUAUAAAGCCGGAGGAGGCGGCCAACUUCACGGCCAAGCCGCGAGCCACCGUGUUCGCCGUCGACCCAUCGCAGAAUGAUGCGGAGAGGCAGCUGCGAAACCCGCACCACGAGACGGCAGAGGUGAAGCUCCCGUCGUUCUCCAAAGGUCUUCUCAUCUUAGAUGCCAACGCCAUCAUCAAGGGCAUGGACAACUUUGUGUCCACCGCGGACGCGCUGGUGACGACGCCGCAGGUGAUUGUCGAGAUCAAGGAUCGCGCGUCGCGCGACUUAUUGGAGCGGCUACCGCACCAAGUGACGGUGCUAGACCCUACCCCGGAGGCAGUCGCUGCCGUGGUUGCCUGUGCGGAGCUCACCGGUGACUUUGGCGCCAUGUCCCGCACCGACAUCCGCCUCUGCGCCCUCGCGCUCGACUGCUGCAAGGUCGGUGGGUUUCUUGGCGAGCCGAUCGAGCCGCGUCCGCCGCAGGUGAACCCGGGAAACGCCGACAAGGUUCAGGUGAUGACAGAGGACAUGAACGAGGAUGGCUCAAAUGACGAGAGGGAGAAGUCGGAGCCAGCUCACGCACAGAGCGCCUGGCUGGGUGCAAUGCCGGGGUCGGGUGGCUGGAGCGAUGAGGCGAAGGAAACGGAUGGCGAGGGCGGUGCAGGUGCUGCAGAGGAGGACGAUGGCGAGGGGGAGUGGAUCACGCCGGAGAACAUCCAAGAUGUGCAGAGCGGAACUCGCGGCGCCGGGCGUGCCUUUGAGGCUGGCAUGGCCUGUGUGACGUCUGACUAUGCCAUGCAAAACACACUCAUGCAUCUCGGCGUCCCGAUCGUGGGCACGAAUGGCAUUCACAUUCGCGAGCUGCGCCUGUGGAUGAUGCGUUGCACAGCUUGCUUCACCCUCGUCGUCGACACAACCCGCCAGUUCUGCCCUGAAUGCGGCUCCGGUGACACUCUGCGGCGCGUCAACUACGUGGUGAAUGACCAAGGGGAGAAGAAGCUCUACAUCAACUUUCGAAAACGCAUCAGCACGCGUGGCACCAUCUACAACCUGCCAAAGCCGCGUGGCGGCACGCGUGGCACGAACCGCAACCUUGUGCUCCGCGAGGAUCAGCUGGCGCACGUGAUUCGCGGCACGACCAGUAGCAAGGUGAAGGCGCAUCAGGUCAUGCAGAAUGACGACUGCGCCCUCGCCACCUUUGGAGAAGCGCCGAAGCUGAAGAAGAAGAACUUGGCCGACCCACGUGCGUAUUCAUCCUACCAUAGGUACAACGUCAACGAGAAAAAGAAGGUGCGCGCAGCUCACCGCAAGUGAGCAGAAGACGUGGAGGCAUGAUAGCAGGAAUGGGGCGCGUUCCUGCCGAUUCUGGGAACCCCCCUCUUCCCUCGCCGACAGUGCCGUAAGACAAAAACCGCUACCUACAAGAACAUGCCUGCACAUAUUCACACGUGGCGACGAGGUAGGAGGUACCCCGAAAAUUGUAUCUCGUUUAAGCGACACCGGUCGCUCUCUUUCAGCGCGUGUACGAAGGGAGGAGGCGAGCGACAGGGCGCAUGACUGCAUUUGAGGGGGAGAAGUUGCACCGUUUUCUUUUCCCAUGCUGAGGUGUCUUCUUUUUCGUCCUCACUGCUCUUCUUCGCGUCAUAAGACGAGGUGCUUUUCUGCCAAGACUUCGCUGAGGGUUAAUGCGUGAUAAGGGAGGAAAAAAAAGAACACAUAUACCUGCACCGCAACGCGCGCCGUUGCGUUAGACGGCCAGCGGGAACUUCCUUGCUGCACCGAGCGGACGUGCACAACCUUUCGUGUACUGUGACCACCUUUCUUUUUUUUUUCAUGUGAAGGUGCGCUCUUCUGCAUAUGAGUGUAGGCGCCUCCGCACCUGGCCCCACGCGCUGCCCGCGCAGCACGACUCUCUCCCUUUGCCUUGACACACACCCUCUCCUCCCUCGCACACAGACAAGCGAAAGAGUGCUGGUGUUUCCUGGAGGUGCGGCUGCGUGCUCGCCUACUCUCUUUCUUUCUCUCGCUCUUUCUUUCCGUUUGUGCUGCUGGGCCGCAAACACCCGUAUUUUAUUUUUUCUCUCGUCCGCACUUUGAACUCCACGUUUUUCUACGACGCGUGCGCGGACAACCGUUGUCUACGGUCGGCUGACGCACUCUUGUUUUUGUGUUGGCACUUCUUGCGGCACACGGCACCCCUCCUUUCGUGGCUUGGCCUCCUCUCUCACUGGCGCCUUCCGCGCUCGGACAAAUGCCCCCUCUUAACGUGCGCAUGCGUGACAG
rnacentral:misc_RNA from 1 species